rnacentral:rRNA from 1 species
CGCGUGGAUAAUCUGCCUUUAGGUUUGGGACAACCCCGGGAAACUGGGGCUAAUACCGGAUAAGACUACGAUUCCCCCGGGUUUCGUGGAAAAAGAUGGCCUCUCCUUGGAAGCUAUCGCCUGAAGAUGAGUCCGCGUUCCAUUAGCUUGUUGGUGAGGUAAGAGCUCACCAAGGCUUCGAUGGAUAGCUGGUCUGAGAGGAUGAUCAGCCACACUGGAACUGAGACACGGUCCAGACUCCUACGGGAGGCAGCAGUCGGGAAUCUUGGGCAAUGGGCGAAAGCCUGACCCAGCAACUCC